UGGCGGACGGGUGAGUAACGCGUGGAUAACCUGCCGUAUACCGGGGGAUAACACUUAGAAAUAGGUGCUAAUACCGCAUAAGCGCACGGCUCCGCAUGGGGCAGUGUGAAAAACUCCGGUGGUAUACGAUGGAUCCGCGUCUGAUUAGCUAGUUGGCGGGGUAACGGCCCACCAAGGCAGCGAUCAGUAGCCGGCCUGAGAGGGCGGACGGCCACACUGGGACUGAGACACGGCCCAGACUCCUACGGAAGGCAGCAG
rnacentral:rRNA from 1 species